AGCGGCGGAUGGGUGAGUAACACGUGGGGAACCUGCCCCUAAGUCUGGGAUACCAUUUGGAAACAGGUGCUAAUACCGGAUAAUAAAGCAGAUCGCAUGAUCAGCUUUUGAAAGGCGGCGUAAGCUGUCGCUAAGGGAUGGCCCCGCGGUGCAUUAGCUAGUUGGUAAGGUAACGGCUUACCAAGGCGACGAUGCAUAGCCGAGUUGAGAGACUGAUCGGCCACAUUGGGACUGAGACACGGCCCAAACUCCUACGGGAGGCAGCAGUAGGGAAUCUUCCACAAUGGACGCAAGUCUGAUGGAGCAACGCCGCGUGAGUGAAGAAGGUUUUCGGAUCGUAAAGCUCUGUUGUUGGUGAAGAAGGAUAGAGGUAGUAACUGGCCUUUAUUUGACGGUAAUCAACCAGAAAGUCACGGCUAACUACGUGCCAGCAGCCGCGGUAAUACGUAGGUGGCAAGCGUUGUCCGGAUUUAUUGGGCGUAAAGCGAGCGCAGGCGGAAAAAUAAGUCUAAUGUGAAAGCCCUCGGCUUAACCGAGGAACUGCAUCGGAAACUGUUUUUCUUGAGUGCAGAAGAGGAGAGUAGAACUCCAUGUGUAGCGGUGGAAUGCGUAGAUAUAUGGAAGAACACCAGUGGCGAAGGCGGCUCUCUGGUCUGCAACUGACGCUGAGGCUCGAAAGCAUGGGUAGCGAACAGGAUUAGAUACCCUGGUAGUCCAUGCCGUAAACGAUGAGUGCUAAGUGU
rnacentral:rRNA from 1 species